UCAAAUUAAAAAUUCAUUUGUUCCUAAAAUAAAAUGAGGUUAAUUAAAAAAGAAGAUUAAAGCUAAUUACACAUGAACAUAUUACAAGCAUUUUUUUUAAUGUGCGAAGACUUUUGGAAAUUAUAGUUGUAAGUCUUAAUCCAUGGAUUGAAAUGAAGGUUCCAUUUUAGUUUUUUUUUUAUAUCAACUAUCGUAAUUAAAGAUAAAUAGAUAAUGAUACAUACCUCACUACUUCUGCCAACUUCUAUUCACAUAAGGUGGCAUCCUUGGACACUUCUGCAGCCGUUCUUCUUCCUCUUGUUCAGUACUGCAAUUCUAGCAGGGAUGAGAAUCAAAAGUAAUAUGCCCUUGUUACUUUUUUAUGUGCUCUUCUUCUCUUGCAAUACCAAUCUUUCCAUUGGAGCUAAUAACAUUAUUUUCGGCCAAACACUAUCAAGAACCACACCAUUAUCUCCAAGGUGGGGUAGUCGAACUGCAGUUUGGGUUGUAAACAGAGAUCCUGUCAAAGACCCAAACUAUUCAGUAUUGAAAUUUUCAUACGAUGGUAGGCUAGUUCUUAUGGAUGAAUCAGGAUAUAAGGUUUGGUAGAUAUAUACGACCGUUCCUACCCCUACAGUAGGUGUGCUUCUUGAUGAUGGAAUUUUUGUUCUGAAAAAUGGAAUAGACUUAGCUAGUCCAGUCUGUCAGAGCUUUGAUAACCCAACUGAUACAUGGCUCCCUGGUGCGAAGCUCAGGUUAACUAAAACAAGAACAAAUGGCAUAUUUCUCACUUCACGGCAAAAUCCAGUUAAACCCAGAACAGGGAACUUUCUUCUAGAGGCAAAUACUAACAAUUCUGGUUCCCCUGUUUUGAGGUAUAUAUAUCUUAGAGAUUCCUAUUCGUGUUGGACAUAUUUGACUUGGUCAUGGAAUGGACAAAACUUUAGCUUAAUGAACUCAAGUUUAUCGAAAUUCGAAAUAUGUAAACUUCAGCUUUGUUUAAUUGUUUCGAGUGAAAAGGAGCGAUACUUCACAUAUUCAGCUCAUAACACUUCCAUACACUAGUGAUGGAUUUCCUUGGAAGGCUGCAGCAGUUUACAUGGAACGAAGACUUAAAAAGAUGGACUCAAUCUUUACACAUCAAACAUAUAUGGAUGACAAUGAAAAAUGGCAUACGGUCUUCCCAAGCAAAGCAACUGUGGACUCCAUUCAUGGAGUACAGUUCCUAUGUCCCGAGGCAACACUUUCUCUCUUGGACAUGUACAUGCUUAAAAGGAUCAGCAGAGUUAUGACUAUCAGUUUAUUCAUUAUUUUGGUGUAAGAGAAAGAAAGAAUUGCAAUGCCAGUCUCAAGGAAAUGACAUGUUUUAUGCAAUGGACAACAUGCAUUUACAGGAAAUUGUUAUGCAUAUGAAAGAUCAGAACAUAAAUGAAGGUAAAAUGACUUGCCUGAGUGCCUGUUCUUGUGCAGCAUACGCCUACAGUAACACUUGUUCAAUUUGGCUUGGAAAACUGUUUUCUCUGCAAAAAGCGGCACCUGAUAAUAACUUAGGAAAAACU
rnacentral:lncRNA from 1 species